AAGGAUUUAAGUUAAAAAAACUCAUAGCCUUCAAAGCUAUAAAUAAGGAUAAUUUCUUUAAGCCUUA
rnacentral:tRNA from 1 species